rnacentral:rRNA from 1 species
UCCAGACUCCUACGGGAGGCAGCAGUGGGGGAUAUUGCACAAUGGGGGGAACCCUGAUGCAGCGACGCCGCGUGGGUGAAGGAGCGUUUCGGCGCGUAAAGCCCUAUCGGCAGGGAAGAAGGAGGACGGUACCUGACUAAGAAGCCCCGGCUAACUACGUGCCAGCAGCCGCGGUAAUACGUAGGGGGCAAGCGUUAUCCGGAUUUACUGGGUGUAAAGGGGGCGCAGACGGCAGCGCAAGCCAGGAGUGAAAGCCCGGGGCCCAACCCCGGGACUGCUCUUGGAACUGCGCGGCUGGAGUGCAGGAGGGGCAGGCGGAAUUCCUGGUGCAGCGGUGAAAUGCGUAGAUAUCAGGAGGAACACCGGUGGCGAAGGCGGCCUGCUGGACUGCGACUGACGUUGAGGCCCGAAAGCGUGGGGAGCAAACAGGAUUAGAUACCCGAGUAG